GCAGCCCCAAUCGGGCGGU
rnacentral:snRNA from 1 species